rnacentral:lncRNA from 1 species
UUUUUUUUUAAUUUAAGUUGUAGAUGUACACAUACCUUCAUUUUAUUUAUUUAUUUUUUUAUGUGGUGCUGAGGAUAGAACCCAGUACCCCACAAGUGGAAGGCAAGCGCUCUGCCAACGAGCCACAAGCCCAGCCCCAAGACCAUCUUAACCAUACCUUUGUGGCACACCAAGUGGUAGCAGUACAGAAAACAGAAAUGGGGGAUGUUCUAUGUUGAAUGACUUAUCAGUUACUUUGGGGCCCAUGCAAGCUCCAUUUCCACCCCAUCCUCAUCCCUUUAGCCCUUGGUGGGGUUGUGUUUGCCUCUAGGACCACAGGCCUCCACCUUAUCACAUGAGCAUAGCCAAUGGAAUCAGGUCGCCAGGUUAUGGAGUUAUCCCCUUGCAAAGUACAAAAAUGGAAUGAGUCGGGUGAGCCAUAAACCUUGGUGGGAAGAGGGGGUGGAGCUUGAGAGCUGGGCCUGGGAAGAGGGGGU